rnacentral:rRNA from 1 species
AACGCGAAGAACCUUACCUGGGCUUGAACUACUGGUAGUAAGUCCUUGGAAACAGGGACUGAUCCGCAAGGAAGCCAGCAGAGGUGCUGCAUGGUUGUCGUCAGCUCGUGUCGUGAGAUGUUGGGUUAAGUCCCGCAACGAGCGCAACCCCUAUCUCAUGUUGCUACUCCCGCAAGGGAGGCACUUUUGAGAAACUGCCUUCGAUAAGAAGGAGGAAGGUGGGGACGACGUCAAAUCCUCAUGGCCCUUAUGUCCAGGGCCACACACGUGCUACAAUGGCCGGUACAACGGGAAGCAAUACCGUAAGGUGGAGCAAAACCCUUAAAGCCGGCCCCAGUUCAGAUCGUGGGCUGCAACUCGCCCACGUGAAGGCGGAAUCGCUAGUAAUCGCGAAUCAGCAGGUCGCGGUGAAUACGUUCCCGGGCCUUGUA